UACGUAGGGGGGCUAGCGUUGUCCGGAAUCAUUGGGCGUAAAGCGCGCGUAGGCGGCCAGAUUAGUCCGGUGUGAAAGUCAGAGGCUCAACCUUUGAAUGCCGCUGGAAACUGUCUGGCUUGAGUCCGGAAGGGGCGAGUGGAAUUCCUGGUGUAGCGGUGAAAUGCGCAGAUAUCAGGAGGAACACCAAUGGCGAAGGCAGCUCGCUGGAACGGUACUGACGCUGAGGCGCGAAAGCGUGGGGAGCAAACAGG
rnacentral:rRNA from 1 species